ACGGAGGAUGCGAGCGUUAUCCGGAUUUAUUGGGUUUAAAGGGUGCGUAGGUGGACUGUUUAGUCAGUGGUGAAAUGCUGAUGCUCAACGUUAGCAUUGCCGUUGAAACUGACAGUCUUGAGAGUGAUUGAGGCAGGCGGAAUGUGGGGUGGAGGGGUGAAAUACACACAACCCAGGAAGAACACCGAUGGCGAGGGCGUCUACCAAAGCCACAACUGACACUGAAGCACGAAAGCGUGGGGAUCAAACAG
rnacentral:rRNA from 1 species